UAUAGUACGCAUCAGUAUGGUUGGAAAAGCUUCUUCUAUCAAGUUUAACAACUUUCUGGUGUAACUUCUGAGAGGGCUGAUUGCUUAUUCAUUCGGAAGCAAGACGCCCAGUUCAUUUUGCCCGUUUUUGCUACUCUUUGUUGGGUUUGGGAGGCUGUUAUGGUAGCUGCAAAUGGCUUCUCAAGUGACAUUUGCUGACAUUCAGUGAAGUACAUUUAUCAGUAUUCACCAGCUCACCUCUACACAUGCAAUCCAUUUUGUUUUGUUCUUCAUAGCAAACUCCUUUCCGACACCCGUGCCCUGAAAAUGAUAAAUGGCAAGGUGGCAUAUUUCUGAAGCUGAACUCAAAUGUCACUGUGAAAAAUCUUUAAUGGACUAAGUGUAGCUUUUCACGUUACAACUUGUCAGGUUUGACCUCCUGUCUCUUGGGUUGAGAAACCAUCCCCUCUGAUUCCUGGCCCCCUGUGACCCCUCCAAAGCCCUCUGUACAGGUCUUUGGCCACACAGAGAUUCAACAAUCUAAUAAUCUAAAAUUGUAAAUGCCACAA
rnacentral:lncRNA from 1 species